CCUACGGGUGGCAGCAGUGGGGAAUAUUGCACAAUGGGGGAAACCCUGAUGCAGCGACGCCGCGUGAGUGAAGAAGUAUUUCGGUAUGUAAAGCUCUAUCAGCAGGGAAGAAAUAGCGACCUUUGGGUCGCCAGACGGUACCUGAUUAAGAAGCCCCGGCUAACUACGUGCCAGCAGCCGCGGUAAUACGUAGGGGGCAAGCGUUAUCCGGAUUUACUGGGUGUAAAGGGAGAGUAGACGGCAGCGCAAGUCUGAAGUGAAAUGCCGGGGCUUAACCCCGGAACUGCUUUGGAGACUGGGGAGCUAGAGUGCAGGAGAGGUAAGUGGAAUUCCUAGUGUAGCGGUGAAAUGCGUAGAUAUUAGGAGGAACACCAGUGGCGAAGGCGGCUUACUGGACGGUAACUGACGUUGAGGCUCGAAAGCGUGGGGAGCAAACAGGAUGAGAUACCCCGGUAGUC
rnacentral:rRNA from 1 species